AUUUCUGUUUAUGUAGUUUAUAUAUAUAAAAAAAACAUUACAUUUUCAUUGUAAAAAAAAAUUAUACCUUUUUAUAAA
rnacentral:tRNA from 1 species